CAGACUUGAGACACUGGUAACUUGCAGGUAAGGAGGAAAAAGAACUGACCUCAUAAGAGGCAUUUAUUUUGCUUUUAAGUAGCAGUUACCAACUUCCAGAUUCACUUACUUCAGUUCCCCAAACUACCAGCCAAACAAGAUUAAGAGGCCUGGAGGAGAAAAGAGUAGAGGAAGUUAAGUACGUGCUAAACAUUUCUUCUCACAAGUUAAUCAACUGCAGGGUUUCUAUAUUGAGCGGUCAUGAGGAUCACACACAAGUAUUUUAUACUGCAAAGCCCCGUAUGUUGGACCUCUGGCAAUCAAAAUAUUUCUAAAUGGCCUUGAGAGAUCAUGAUUUAUAGGAAUUGAUAACUUUGCUGGGAAAUGAAUUAAAAUAGUCACUCUACAGGGUGGUAUGUUGUUGUUCUUGAUUGUUCUUCAUUUAGGUAACAACUCUCAUGGACUCACAGUCUUCCUAUCUGUGGAAAAUACUAGUGCUGGUAGUAGAUGUGGAGAGAAAGUGAAAGGUUUAAGGAAGUCUUAGUACUUGUGAUUUGAAGCAUUUUUAUAGGCCUUUAUAUAUAUCACUCUGAUAUAAUUUAUAUCAGUUACCAAUUGCUGCAUAACAAACCAUCACAAAUUUAAGAGCUUCAAACAGCAACAUUAUUUUUCUUUUUGCUCACAAAUCUGUAAGGGUUUGAGCAGGGCUUGGCAGGGCAGCUCAUCUUGGCUCAUGUGGUGUCCUCUGCGGGGGUUUGAGGGCAGGGGGUGUGGGGGAGGCUGGGCUCCUCUGAAGGCUUAUUCACCUCUAGCUGUUGAACCUACCUGUCUGCAGGGACCUCGGAUGGGAUCAUCUCCUGCAACCCCUAUACCUGGCCUCUCCACGUGGCUGGACCCUCUCACGGCAUGGCAGCUGGUUCCAAGAGAACAAGGCAGAAGUGAAAGUACUUUUAUGACAGUCUAGGAAUCACGUAGCAACACUUCGGCUUAACGCAGGGCUGUGGUGAGAUCUCUUUUAAGAACUUGGAAACAAGAGGCAUACGGCUGAUCAGUGAAGAAAUAUGCGAAAGUACCUUCAAAACAGAACAUCUCACAGAGGAACAAUAUGACUGUAAUUCUAUCUAAAAGAAGAUGACAGUACUGAGAAGGGUGUCUGUCAGCCAUGUUGGCACAGAACAAGGAGCUCCUCAGAGGCAAUGCUGUAGUGGAACCAACCCAAGCAAUCCCUUGGGGUGACCUAUAACACCAUCAGGAAUAUAUGACCUUUUUGGCAGGCUUGUCCUCAUUGAGGAAGGGGCAUUAACAAAGGUUCUGAGUCUAAAGUUAUUACACAUUCAAACUGCAAAACUUUUAAAUUUCUAUGACCAAUAAACAAAUUUCUGAUUACUGUUUUCUCAUAUGGCUUGCCAACAGGGUAAAGAAUAAACUUAAGACAUAUCUGAUCUGCCUGCUGGUUAUACUUUCAUUGUAAAUUGACAAAUGGAUUUUUUUAAAAUAUGUUAGUCACAAUUUUUGGUAAGAAUAUGCAUCCCCAAGUCAGUGAAAGUAAGACCAAAUCUUGAACACUGUUGAGUUUGAGUUUUCUGAGCCUGCAGGUUUACUGCAAUAAACUUCUAUUUAUGCACUCAAUAGUUAACCCAGAGACUUCUGUAUUACAAUGUAAAUACCAAAUUUUUGUGAACUUCCAUAAAUAUCAUAUGGGGAAAUUUUUCAAAUAGGAGAAUUUGAGACCAACUCUUAAAAUGAGCUUUUCUGGAAUUAUCCAUCAUGUAUCAUAGAUCAAAUCGCUGUUUAAAGAAUAUGUGAAACAUUAUGACCAGUGUGGGUACUCUGGUGGUACUCUAAGUUCUAUAUCCUUUUGUAUCAUGAAAGAUCAACCAUAUCC